GUAGGUGGCAAGCGUUGUCCGGAAUUAUUGGGCGUAAAGCGCGCGCAGGCGGGGUCCUUUAAGUCUGAUGUGAAAGCCCACGGGCUCAACCGUGAGGGUCAUUGGAAACUGGGGGACUUGAGUACAGAAGAGGAAAGCGGAAUUCCAAGUGUAGCGGUGAAAUGCGUAGAGAUUUGGAGGAACACCAGUGGCGAAGGCGGCUUUCUGGUCUGUAACUGACGCUGAGGCGCGAAAGCGUGGGGAGCAAACAGGAUUAGAUACCCUGGUAGUCCACGCCGUAAACGAUGAGUGCUAAGUGUUAGGGGGUUUCCGCCCCUUAGUGCUGCAGCUAACGCAUUAAGCACUCCGCCUGGGGAGUACGGCCGCAAAGGCUG
rnacentral:rRNA from 1 species